AUGAAAAGUUUCCUAAUAUCAACGUUUAAACAAGAAAAGUAUUCUCUACUCUUUACUUCACAUUGCCGCCUCUGCUGAAGGAUGUUCCCCUUGUGGCCACUUCAUCUCCCUCCUCCCCUAGGUUAUCUGUAAGUUGGAUGUCUGUGGAUGUUGCUCAACCCUAGCUCUUUCUAUCAACUUUGCCUCUGGUGGUCGGGGUUUUGCCCCACAGGACUGAAGUAACAUCAUGUCGAAGCUCCGAUUUGCCCUAUCAAUUGUUGAUUUAUCAACACGCAGCUCAAUUUCCAGGUCAAAUCCAUCUGAGUUCGGUGGGAGGCUCCCAGUAUCCCUUUUUUGGUGAAGGUUUUUGGUAGCUAGAGCAUUUACAGAUCUGUCCAUAGCUUGACAAAACUCGAUUUGUAUAUGCUGUUUAUGUUGGUGCACCCCCUUGGGAUUGUAAUGGGACCCUUUGUGCUUUCUUUUAAUCCAUGUGACUGCUCUUGCGUAUA